UGGGGGACAACGUUUUCGAAAGGAACGCUAAUACCGCAUACGUCCUACGGGAGAAAGCAGGGGACCUUCGGGCCUUGCGCUAUCAGAUGAGCCUAGGUCGGAUUAGCUAGUUGGUGAGGUAAUGGCUCACCAAGGCGACGAUCCGUAACUGGUCUGAGAGGAUGAUCAGUCACACUGGAACUGAGACACGGUCCAGACUCCUACGGGAGGCAGCAGUGGGGAAUAUUGGACAAUGGGCGAAAGCCUGAUCCAGCCAUGCCGCGUGUGUGAAGAAGGUCUUCGGAUUGUAAAGCACUUUAAGUUGGGAGGAAGGGUACUUACCUAAUACGUGAGUAUUUUGACGUUACCGACAGAAUAAGCACCGGCUAACUCUGUGCCAGCAGCCGCGGUAAUACAGAGGGUGCAAGCGUUAAUCGGAAUUACUGGGCGUAAAGCGCGCGUAGGUGGUUUGUUAAGUUGGAUGUGAAAUCCCCGGGCUCAACCUGGGAACUGCAUCCAAAACUGGCAAGCUAGAGUAGGGCAGAGGGUGGUGGAAUUUCCUGUGUAGCGGUGAAAUGCGUA
rnacentral:rRNA from 1 species